rnacentral:rRNA from 1 species
CUGGCAGUAAACGGUGCACGUUUGGUGUGGGAGGAUUCGACCCCUUCCGUGCCGGAGCUAACGCGUUAAACGUGCCGCCUGGGGAGUACGGUCGCAAGAUUAAAACUCAAAGAAAUUGACGGGGGCCCGCACAAGCGGUGGAGUAUGUGGCUUAAUUCGAUGCAACGCGAAGAACCUUACCUAGCCUUGACAUGCAUCUCUAAGUCGGUGAAAGCCGGCGAGUGUAGCAAUACACAAUUUGCACAGGUGC